rnacentral:rRNA from 1 species
GACGUAGGGGGCCAGCGUUGCUCGGAAUUACUGGGCGUAAAGGGUCCGUAGGCGGUGCGGUAAGUCGGGAGUGAAAUCUCUGGGCUUAACUCAGAGGCUGCUUCCGAAACUACCGUGCUAGAGUGCGAGAGAGGCAAGUGGAAUUGCGGGUGUAGCGGUGAAAUGCGUAGAUAUCCGCAGGAACAUCCGAGGCGAAAGCGGCUUGCUGGAUCGCAACUGACGCUGAGGGACGAAAGCGUGGGGAGCAAACAGG